rnacentral:rRNA from 1 species
GACGAACGCUGGCGGCGUGCUUAACACAUGCAAGUCGAGCGAGACCUUCGGGUCUAGCGGCGGACGGGUGAGUAACGCGUGGGAAUAUGCCCUUCUCUACGGAAUAGCCUCGGGAAACUGAGAGUAAUACCGUAUACGCCCUUCGGGGGAAAGAUUUAUCGGAGAAGGAUUAGCCCGCGUUGGAUUAGGUAGUUGGUGGGGUAAUGGCCUACCAAGCCUACGAUCCAUAGCUGGUUUGAGAGGAUGACCAGCCACACUGGGACUGAGACACGGCCCAGACUCCUACGGGAGGCAGCAGUGGGGAAUCUUAGACAAUGGGGGAAACCCUGAUCUAGCCAUGCCGCGUGAGUGAUGAAGGCCUUAGGGUUGUAAAGCUCUUUCAGCUGGGAAGAUAAUGACGGUACCAGCAGAAGAAGCCCCGGCUAACUCCGUGCCAGCCGCCGCGGUAA